GACAGUCUCCCAGACACACUCACUCUGACUUGUUACCAUAGGAACGUAGUGGAGGAGGUUGCCGAGCUGCGGCGUUGUUAGGGGGGAUACAACUAAAGCAUCCAGGAGGACGGAGGAAUUAGAUUUCCAGCAUGAGGACCCUUCAGAGGCGAGGAGAGGGCAGACCUCAGCGUUACCUGGGAGGAGCUGCAGCCUACAGCAGGAAUGAACCCUCCUGAAGCAGGUUCUGGGCCUCCAUCACCCCCCCUUCCAUCCUCCUCCUCAUUAUGCACGACGUGUAAUUAGGUAACGGCGUUUUUGAAUGCAUUAAACAUGCAUGACUUUCGUGAUGGAGGUCAGAAGCAGCGGCGGGCAAGAAAAAGCAGCAAUAGAGUCUUUCUCAAGGACGCUUUCAUGGUGGACCAAGUCUACUGGGGAUCAAAGCUGUUAUUGGACUCAGGAUGGAUGACUGAGGCCUCCAGCCCCCGAGGCCUGUUCCUCUGUCUGAUCUCACUGUUAACAGCUCUGAUCAUCACCCAGAGGAGGGAAGCAGGGAGGGAUACGACUGCUGCCCCCUGACGCUGCUCGGCCUAAAUGUUGUUGGGUAUGAUGGAGGAGAAAUUAGGGGCAACAGAGCAAGAAGAUGGUUUGUGUGUGUUGGCUGAGGAAGAAAGAUGGAUGGGGUUUAAUUGGUCGGACAGCAUACGAGCCGUAAUGUAAGCACACGACUGGAUCCUCUAGAAUCUGCAAAUGGAACCAAAGUGUGACUGAUGGUCAACGUUUAAUGUUCAGGUCCUCAGUUUAGCAUCAGCUCAUUGAUCGCAUUAGUUGUGGGCUCAUUAAAGCAUUUUACCCCAGAUAUUAGUCAUGUCCUCUGCUCUCAGUCUUUAGUUAAAGCUUAUUACCAUAGCUCAACAUUUUGGGAUAAAAAUAUUGAUACCACUCUUUGAAACCAAGGAGUUGCUUAGCUUAGCUUAGCAUAAAAACUGAAAGCAUCUCCGCUGUUUGAAUUCCACUUCAAAAUCAACAGUUUUUAAUGAGAAAGAUGCAGUGUGACUUCUCGGAAAUCACACAAGGAACAAUUGAUUAAAUUGUGGGGGUGGUUCCAAGUCCCAUCAAUUCCCACCGCUACAUCAAUUACCACUGCUACAUAUUUAGGUCACGUGAUUCGGUGACCGUACAUAACAUACACAUGCAUAACACACGCCUGUGUUCAGUGCAACGUCAUUUUUUAUUAAAGAUUUCAUCUGUUGGAAAUGAUGUAAUUGAGCAGCCUUGGAGGAGUACUACGCUCUCUAACUGCUUUUCUUGUUGGAUUCUGUCAUUCUCUCUUUGUACGUUUCCUUCGUACUUUUUUAUGCACGUUCAAAACAUUCAUACGUUUCACUAAUCAACAAAUUAACUGUUGGGAUCUGGAGGCAUCCGAACAGAAACAUUUAGAUCAUUGUGCGUUUUCCAACAAACCCCAGAUUAGCUCAAUUCAUGUGAAAGACAAAACAAAAGCCGAAGAUGUAAUUCUUAAUCAAAGUGUGUUUUCGACAUUCGUCACAGUUUUCAGAUUUGUUGCAGUAGUGAGAUCAUCGGGGCGGAUUCAGGUCAAAAGGUGCCUUUGGCCAGACAUCCACUGGCGUCCCUGAGGGGGCUGUUAUUUUCAUAUCAACAUAAUUUAAUAAUAUUUUCAGUUAAUUGGGUUUGUGUCUGCGUCAUGUCAUCAGUUUAGUACCCUCUAGGGUCCCAAGACAACCUGGGCUUUCAUGGUGAACUGUAGACCACCACGCCAGUAGAAAAUUUUCCGAUGCAAUGGACAUUUGAGGCAGUUUCAGUUUAGUUUUACUUCCAAACACUGCUGGUUUGUUUACAGCCCGUCCAGCCACAUUUGUGAGCAGCGUUGCUUCGAUUUUGGCACGCUCAGUGUUAUCAUCGCCAACAGAAACCACGGCCAAGCCUAUCAAAAUAAUUAUCCUUUCACAAUUGCACAUCAUCUGCUCCGUCUUCCUCCGUCCUCACAUCUCGGCUCCCCCAGCUGCUCAAACUGCCUCACGAGCCCAUCCAGGAAGCGUCAGUAUGAUUAUCAGUCUCUCCUCAGACCAUUUCAAAAAGCUCACAGUUAGUGGGGUGUGAAGAAGAAACGUGAUUGCCUGUUAAACCUCGACACCGCAGGCCGCAGCGCGCAACACCCGGACGCCACAUGUGGGCCCCUCUCAAUUCAGAACUGUAAUUUCGCUCUUAUUUAAAGACAGUACGGUCGUCUGAAGCUGUCGGAUCUUUGGCAGGUUCGUCUGAAGAAGCAAAGUGUGUGAAAACAACAGUUUACUGCGGAUGCAAACAACAGCCCCUCAGGGACUCCAGUUCUCAUUCAAACUCUUUUUGGAAGGUGAUCAGACAGAAUCAACUUUAGAGUGAAUCCUAUUGUAGCUGUUUACAUGUGGCUUGUUUUCAGAUUUAAUUAUGUUUUUGUACCUAAAUGAAGCCUUGUUGUUGCCUUUCCAGUUGGUUGCGCUCACAAUUUCCAUUAACUCUAAAAGUCCAGAGGGUAAACACAACAGUUUGCAGCAAGAUCAAUCCAUUUUAAAAGAAAUGUCACCAGUAAAUUUCACGUUUAACCUCAGAACCGACAGCAGGUUUCGCCAAAAAUACAUCCCUUACCACAGCCAGAAACAGUAAAAACAAAGAAUUAUUGGAUUUUCAGGUUUUGAAUAGCCAGGACACAUGUUUGAGAUGCAGAAAUUACCCAAAAACAAGCAUUAAAUUUUGAUAUUCUGCAUUUCCAUUCAAACAUUAGGUCAAAGUAAACCAUAUGCACCAGAUCUUGGAAAAAAAACAGCAACAAAAAAAACCCUGAUUUUGUGUUUCUAAGUGCAACAGUGAAGCCAUGACUGACACAAUUUCAGUAAAUAUUCAGGUGAACUGCAGGCAGUAUUUCCACAGAGUGACUGAGAGUAAAAUAAACUGGAUCAGUACAAUAAAUGCUGCAUGGCUUGAAAAUGUAACCAAUUGUCAUUCAGCAUGGUUAAACAUCUCUGCAGAGUUGUGUGAAAAGCAUCAAAUCUGUAGAGGUUGAUAAAAUGGAAAUACUUAAAUGAUCAUAGUGUGUAGAACCACAUUUUUCCAGCUUUUGUAGCAUCUGUGAGCACGUAGAAAAUGUUGUAUUGAGGAACCUGAUUUAAUCCAGUGAAAGACUUUAAAUUGCAGUGAAGAUGAGCCCACAGUGAGUCAAAAUGUGUCAGGAGCAAGAAAACAUCCACAAACUGGUGAGAGUCAGAGAGUUAGCCAGUAGCAAGUAUCUAGCUAGCUGUGUGUAACAUCCACUUAUGUUUAAGCUCAUCUGCUGCAGUAUUUCUGAAAAAAAAAAAAAAAGAGGAAUAUUUGCAAAUGAUUGCAAAACAGGAACUGAUGUGUCAUCUUAGCAACACUGCUAACCAGAUUGCUAACUGAUAUGUCACUACAAUAACUCAUUGAUUUUAGCUAAUGCUUCUGGAGCUAACUCCCACUACCAGAUACAUAUCUGGCUAGCAUGUUAGCAUUAGCUCUUCAGCUACUCCUCUCGCAAUAUCUUGAUAUCACUGGCCAAAAUAAUUCAAAAAACAGCAUACUUGUGAUAUCUGUAGAAUAUAUAAAAAAUAUAUAUUAAUGAUCAGUGUAAAAUUAAUCUUUAGUUUGUUGUGUGUUUUGUCUUUUUGGCACUUGAAAUUUACUUGAAAUAUGAGUGUAGGGAGUCUGUAAGCAUAAUACUGUACUAUCUUUUGCUCCUAUGUUGGUGUGUUAAUCAGAUAGUUACUGGCUCUGCAUUAUUUUUUAGAAUUAUGUGUUUUUCAUGUGUAUUAUUAACGAGAUGACAAUGUUUAUCACUGAAAUUCAGCCAUGUGAAUAGUCACUAUGUCCCCUUCAACAUUCAGAGAAAAGUUUGGUGCUUUGUCACGUAAUGUUUCUAGGUAGACUGAAAUCAUAAUGCGACAAAAAAUAAGAUCUUUGUGGAGAACACAGGGGUAGAUUUGUUCUCAGAUUCAGCUUUGAUGGGUGAACUGGUUCAUUAUCUCCUGCGAUCGUCUGCAGCUGGUCCAAAAUAUCGUAUGAUUCGUUGUGCUGCCUUGUGGGAGAGCUUCUCAAUUUCAUCUCUCAUCUCUCAGCUCCAUUAACUGACAAAAGACACCAGACGCCAGAGAGGCACAUUUCUCAGGUGGCACCACAUGGCACCGUAUGAUUUGUGGGUCCUCGGAUUAUUUGGGGCACUCUGUCUUAUUUUAAACUGUAUAUGGAUGUGUCCAGGAGGUGGAAACAUGCCAGAAAUAGGUCUGAUAAUUCAGAUUUGUGUGAAAGUACCUGUACGAUUUAAUGGCCUGGACAUUUUUUAAAUUGAAGCCGUCGCAGAAAUGCCA